CGGGGGGAGGGAGGAAGGGAGGGACACCGGAACCGGAAGAGAGGAGGCGAAUGUCGCGCCGAGCAUAGAGCUGCCCUUCCGGGAGCUGGACUCAGGGGGGCGGGGCCACAGCGACGCCCUCUGGCCGGCAGUCGUCAUCCGCCUUCAGCCCAGUCGGACGCGGCUGAGAUUCCAGGGAAAUAAAACCCGGCGAUUUGCUCAAGUCUGGUUCCUUCCGCAGGAAUUCUGUUCAGAGGGUUCCGCGUGGGCUCAGAAACCUGCAUUUUAACAAGCUGCCCAGGGAUCGCCCUUAGAGAAACACUCAUCUAGUUUCAUUUACCUGAGUGGUGUGCUGUUUGGUAGGAAUAAGUUAGAGAUUUGAAGGUUAAUUGGUCUUUUGGGAAAACAUCAAAUAAACAGACCCAGUAUAUUAAAACAAAGGCAAGAGUUAUUUCUUCCGGAGCGGGCACUGUAUGUAUGCUGAGGUACUAUUAUCCUUAUCUUAGAAAAGAAGAAAUUGAGGCACAGUACAGGGUUACUGUAUUUUUGGAGGAUAGACUUCUGGAAGUGGAUUUGCUACCGAAAAGUAUGACCAUUUAAAAUUUUGCUAGAAGCGGUUUGGCUCAGUGG